rnacentral:rRNA from 1 species
GGACGAAAGUCUGAUGGAGCAACGCCGCGUGAGUGAAGAAGGUUUUCGGAUCGUAAAGCUCUGUUGUUGGUGAAGAAGGAUAGAGGUAGUAACUGGCCUUUAUUUGACGGUAAUCAACCAGAAAGUCACGGCUAACUACGUGCCAGCAGCCGCGGUAAUACGUAGGUGGCAAGCGUUGUCCGGAUUUAUUGGGCGUAAAGCGAGCGCAGGCGGAAGAAUAAGUCUGAUGUGAAAGCCCUCGGCUUAACCGAGGAACUGCAUCGGAAACUGUUUUUCUUGAGUGCAGAAGAGGAGAGUGGAACUCCAUGUGUAGCGGUGGAAUGCGUAGAUAUAUGGAAGAACACCAGUGGCGAAGGCGGCUCUCUGGUCUGCAACUGACGCUGAGGCUCGAAAGCAUGGGUAGCGAACAGGAUUAGAUACCCUGGUAGUCCAUGCCGUAAACGAUGAGUGCUAAGUGUUGGGAGGUUUCCGCCUCUCAGUGCUGCAGCUAACGCAUUAAGCACUCCGCCUGGGGAGUACGACCGCAAGGUUGAAACUCAAAGGAAUUGACGGGGGCCCGCACAAGCGGUGGAGCAUGUGGUUUAAUUCGAAGCAACGCGAAGAACCUUACCAGGUCUUGACAUCUAGUGCCAUCCUAAGAGAUUAGGAGUUCCCUUCGGGGACGCUA